GUAAAAUCCAUGAGAUUUAUUGGGUUUUUCAAUCAGUGCCUCCAAUGAGCCACCAUCAAUUUAUCAUUUGGUAUUGCUCUCCUAUUCUUCUUCACUUUUUUUUUCGAACCCAAGAAAGCCUAUGACAGCCUGAUUGAGUCAUUAGCCAUUGGAUUUUUUAGUGGAUUGGGCCUUCCCAUAUUGUUGUUUUUCUUCUUUUCUUUCACUAGGACAACC
rnacentral:lncRNA from 1 species